AAGACUAUAGACCUGCGGAGUACCUGCGGAAGGAUCAUUAUCGUAUUGUAACAAUUGGGGGGGCCACCGUGGGCUGUCGCUGACCCUUUGAAAGGGGGGUCGUGCACGCCCCCAUAGUGUCAUCCUCAUACAAUCCAACUCACCUCUGUGCAUCACCGCGUGGGUUCCUUUCUGGGUCGAGUCAGACUGGCUCAGAAAAAAGGGGCUUGCGUGUUCCAUACAAAUACCCUUAUAAAUCCA
rnacentral:misc_RNA from 1 species